rnacentral:ncRNA from 1 species
AGAUAGAGGUGCGGAUCUCAUCAGUAUCCUCCGGGAGGCGCCAGAACGUCUGAGAACUGGGGAGAAAGGGUGUUCCGCCGAAACGGUGAACCGGUCUGGCUGUUCCCCGUUGGUUGCCGGCAGAAGAUGCCGCCGACUGUCACUUUGUGUGGAGCGCUAUCGGU